CACAACCCCUUUAUUUUACAACAGCCUCUCUCAAUCCCAUCUCUCCCUCUCACGCACACACGACGCCACUCUCAACAUGAUGAUCCUCUUUUUCUCCGACGAAGACCCUAAUACAGUAGGGUAAACCAGAUCGAAAACUUCUACCCUUUAGGUUUCAAACUACCCAAAUAAACCACUUUAUUUCCCUACUAUCCUCAUCUCUCUCGGCGACCGAGAAAGCUCGAAAGCUUUCUACAUUGGCCACCACACGCGGGUGGCCAAAUCUAACUCCGACCACCACGGGACUCAACUGCUAUAGAACACGACACCACCAGCCGAAUGUUACUAAGGCUCAGAUGAUCUCCAUUCAACAAUCAACCCUUCCUCUUCUCUUAGAUCCCUAGCUAAGGUCCUUAAUGUUGAGCAAAAGUCUUGAUUCAGGGCUCACUGAAGUGUCAUGAAUUACCUAGUUGGAGCUUUCAAGCCGCCGUGUAAUAUUUUCAUAUCAUUCGCUGAUGGAAGAAACCGCAGGCUGGUACCGCUAAAAAAGGAAAAUGGGAAAACAAUUAUGGUUGCACUCUUCCAGAACCAGGAAAAUAUUGUAGGAGAGGUAGUGUUUUUCAUGUUUCCAUCUCAGGACUUAUGAUUGAGGCAUCUGCUUGUUAUAUACAAAUUGUUCUAUUAUUUAUUUGCAGUCAAAACUGUAUCCAUUAUUUUUCUUAUUGUUGAUACUUCAGGUAGUUAUAGAACCAAUAAUUAAAAUACCCCGAGAAAUCCUUCAACAAUAUGAUAUACAUAUGGAGUAGAAGAACACUACCUCCUGUUGUUGAUUCCUCUCUGGUUUUUUUUUAUGGCUGACCUCUCCCCCCUUUUCUGAUGAUGAUCGAGACUAUAUCCUUGAUAUUUUCUCUCUGUCUUCUUGUUGUGCUUGGUGCUCUGUCCCUUUUUUUAUGUGUCUGCAGGGCAUGGAUUCGAGCAUGGCUAGCAUGGGCACGACAACAUUAGUUUCGGUGGAUGGUCGACCAGCAUGGAUCUUCCUCGAUGGGUUCACGUGGGUAGCGCACUGUCUCGGGCUUCCUCCUGGUGGAUUUGCACCAUAUGUUAAUAUAAUAAA